GACGAACGCUGGCGGCGUGCUUAACACAUGCAAGUCGAGCGGUAAGGCCCUUUCGGGGGUACGACGAGCGGCGAACGGGUGGAGUAACACGUGGGUGACCUGCCCUCAGCUCUGGGAUAAGCCUGGGAAACCGGGUCUAAUACCGGAUAUGACUCCAUGACGCAUGUUGUGGGGUGGAAAGCCUUGUGCGGCUGAGGAUGGGCCCGCGGCCUAUCAGCUUGUUGGUGGGGUGAUGGCCUACCAAGGCGACGACGGGUAGCCGGCCUGAGAGGGCGACCGGCCACACUGGGACUGAGACACGGCCCAGACUCCUACGGGAGGCAGCAGUGGGGAAUCUUGCGCAAUGGGCGAAAGCCUGACGCAGCGACGCCGCGUGAGGGAUGACGGCCUGGUGU
rnacentral:rRNA from 1 species